rnacentral:lncRNA from 1 species
GUGCAUGUGGAGGUGUGUGUGUGCAUGUGGAAGUGUGCGUGUGCAUGUGAAGGUAUGUGUGUGCAGGUGGAAGUGUGCGUGUGCAGGUGGAGGUGUGUGUGUCCAGGUAGAAUGUGUGUGCAUGUGGAGGUGUAUCUGUGCAUGUGGAGGUGUGUGUGCAGCUGGAAGUGUGUGUGUGCAGGUGGAGGUGCACAUGUGCAUGUGAAGGUGUGUGCAUAUGGAGGUGUGUGUGUGCAUAUGGAGGUGUGUGCAGGUGGAGGUGUGCGUGUGCAGGUGGAGGUGUGUGUGCAGGUGGAGGUGUGCAUGUGCAGGUGGAGGUGUGUGUGCAGGUGGAGGUGUGCGUGUGCAGGUGGAGGUGUGCGUGUGCAUAUAGAGGUAUGUGUGCAUAUAGAGGUGUGUGUGCAUAUGGAGGUGUGUGUGUGCAGGUGGAGGUGUGCAUGUGCAUGUGGAGGUGUGUGUGUGCAUGUGGAGGUGUGUGCAGGUGGAGGUGUGUGUGUGCAUGUGGAGGUGUGUGUGCAGGUGGAGGCAUGCAUGUGCAUGUGAAGGUGUGUGUAUGCAAGUGGAGGUGUGUGCAUAUGGAGGUGUGCGUGUGCAGGUGGAGGUGUGCAUGUGAAGGUGUGUGUAUGCAAGUGGAGGUGUGUGCAUAUGGAGGUGUGUGUGUGUGCAUGUGGAGGUGUGUGUGGCAGGGAGGGGAGUGUAUUAAUCUCCUAGGGCUGCUAUGACAAA